GCUGGGCAUGGUGGUGCGUGCCUGUAAUCCCAGCUACUCAGGAGGCUGAGGCAGGAGAAUUACUUGAACCCAGGAGGCGGAGGUUGUGGUGAGCUGAGAUCGCCCCAUUGCACUCCAGCCUGGGUAACAAGAGUGAAACUCCAUCUCAAAAAAAAAAAAAAAAAGAAAAAGAAACAGGGUCUCUGAGGUAGGAGGAUCUCCUGAGCCCAGGAGUUCUGGACUGUAGUGCGCUAUGCCGAUCGGGUGUCCACAUUAAUUUCGGCAUCAAUAUGAUGACCUCCCCGGAUCGGGGGCCCACCAGGUUGCCUAAGGAGGGGUGAACCGGCCCGGGUCGGAAAUGGAGCAGGUCAAAACUCCCAUGCUGAUCAGUGGUGGGAUCGUGCCUGUGAAUAGCCACUGCACUCCAGCCUGGGCAACAUAGCGAGACCCUGUCUCUU
ensembl:misc_RNA Metazoa_SRP Metazoan signal recognition particle RNA